AGUGAACGCUGGCGGCAGGCCUAAUACAUGCAAGUCGAACGGCAGCACAGCAGAGCUUGCUCUGUGGGUGGCGAGUGGCGGACGGGUGAGGAAUACAUGGGAAUCUGCCCAGUCGUGGGGGAUAACGUAUGGAAACGUACGCUAAUACCGCAUGCGCCCUACGGGGGAAAGCCGGGGACCGCAAGGCCUGGCGCGAUUGGAUGAGCCCAUGUUCGAUUAGCUAGUUGGCGGGGUAAAGGCCCACCAAGGCGACGAUCGAUAGCUGGUCUGAGAGGAUGAUCAGCCACACUGGAACUGAGACACGGUCCAGACUCCUACGGGAGGCAGCAGUAGGGAAUAUUGGACAAUGGGGGCAACCCUGAUCCAGCCAUGCCGCGUGAGUGAAGAAGGCCCUCGGGUUGUAAAGCUCUUUUGUCCGGAAAGAAAGCAAUCGGUUAAUA
rnacentral:rRNA from 1 species